GACGAACGCUGGCGGCGUGCUUAACACAUGCAAGUCGAACGAUGAACCGGAGCUUGCUCUGGGGAUUAGUGGCGAACGGGUGAGUAACACGUGGGCAACCUGCCCCAGACACCGGGAUAACCAUUGGAAACGAUGGCUAAUACCGGAUACGACCACUUCGGGCAUCCGAUGGUGGUGGAAAGGAUUCUGGUCUGGGAUGGGCCCGCGGCCUAUCAGCUUGUUGGUGGGGUAAUGGCCUACCAAGGCGACGACGGGUAGCCGGCCUGAGAGGGCGACCGGCCACACUGGGACUGAGACACGGCCCAGACUCCUACGGGAGGCAGCAGUGGGGAAUAUUGCGCAAUGGGCGAAAGCCUGACGCAGCGACGCCGCGUGAGGGACGAAGGUCUUCGGAUUGUAAACCUCUUUCAGCAGGGAUGAAGCGAAAGUGACAGUACCUGCAGAAGAAGCACCGGCUAACUACGUGCCAGCCGCCGCCGUAACAC
rnacentral:rRNA from 1 species